UACGGGGGGGGCAAGCGUUGUUCGGAAUUACUGGGCGUAAAGGGCUCGUAGGCGGCCGACUAAGUCAGACGUGAAAUCCCUCGGCUUAACCGGGGAACUGCGUCUGAUACUGGACGGCUUGAGUUCGGGAGAGGGAUGCGGAAUUCCAGGUGUAGCGGUGAAAUGCGUAGAUAUCUGGAGGAACACCGGUGGCGAAGGCGGCUCACUGGACCGGUACUGACGCUGAUGCGCGAAAGCGUGGGGAGCAAACGGG
rnacentral:rRNA from 1 species